rnacentral:rRNA from 1 species
UAAGCAGCCAGGCUAACUCUGUGCCAGCAGCCGCGGUAAUACAGAGGGUGCAAGCGUUAAUCGGAUUUACUGGGCGUAAAGCGCGCGUAGGCGGCUAAUUAAGUCAAAUGUGAAAUCCCCGAGCUUAACUUGGGAAUUGCAUUCGAUACUGGUUAGCUAGAGUGUGGGAGAGGAUGGUAGAAUUCCAGGUGUAGCGGUGAAAUGCGUAGAGAUCUGGAGGAAUACCGAUGGCGAAGGCAGCCAUCUGGCCUAACACUGACGCUGAGGUGCGAAAGCAUGGGGAGCAAACAGGAUUAGAUACCCUGGUAGUCCAUGCCGUAAACGAUGUCUACUAGCCGUUGGGGCCUUUGAGGCUUUAGUGGCGCAGCUAACGCGAUAAGUAGACCGCCUGGGGAGUACGGUCGCAAGACUAAAACUCAAAUGAAUUGACGGGGGCCCGCACAAGCGGUGGAGCAUGUGGGUUUAAUUCGAUGCAACGCGG